ACUCAAACGAGCAGGAAUUUUCCUGUAUUUGAAUUUCUACACCGGAAAUACAAUGAAUCUCGGUUUGGGGAAGACAGAAUGGAUUAGAGUGUGGCUGGGCAAAUGGAGAGGUGGUGGGAACAGUGAAAAAGCCUUUGCAGUAGCACAGUCAGGCGAUGACAGUGGCUGGGCCAAGGAGGUGAAGCUGAAAAUGAAAGCAAAUCUGAGUGGGAGGCAGAAGUGAUCCUGUUAACAACAACUGCCCACUCCAGAUGAGAAGAAGUUUUGUGGUGAAGUGAUAAAUCCUGUGCUGUGCAUGUUUGUGAGUUUUUGACGGGCCCCCAUGGACCUUCAGUUGGCAAUCAGGAUGCUGUGAGCCUGUCCACUGUGACUUGCUGGCACAUUGUCACUGAC
rnacentral:lncRNA from 1 species